UCUGUACGGCCAGAUCAAAUC
rnacentral:piRNA from 1 species